AGAUGCGAUCAUACCAGCACUAAUGCAUCGGAUCCCAUCAGAACUACGCAGUUAAGGGUGCUUGGGCGAGAGUAGUACUAGGAUGGGAGACCUCCAGGAAAGUCCUCGUGUUGCAUCCC
rfam:Arabidopsis thaliana chromosome 3, complete sequence.